rnacentral:tRNA from 1 species
GCUGCUUUAGCUCAGCUGGUAGAGCACCUCCUUGGUAAGGAGGAGGUCGUGGGUUCAAUUCCCGCAAGCAGCUCCA